AUUGAACGCUGGCGGCAGGCUUAACACAUGCAAGUCGAGCGGGGUGAGGUGCUUCGGUACUGAUCCUAGCGGCGGACGGGUGAGUAAUGCUUAGGAAUCUGCCUUUUAGUGGGGGACAACAUUCCGAAAGGAAUGCUAAUACCGCAUACGUCCUACGGGAGAAAGCAGGGGAUCUUCGGACCUCACGCUAUUAGAUGAGCCUAGGUCGGAUUAGCUAGUUGGUGAGGUAACGGCUCACCAAGGCGACGAUCCGUAGCUGGUCUGAGAGGAUGAUCAGCCACACUGGAACUGAGACACGGUCCAGACUCCUACGGGAGGCAGCAGUGGGGAAGAUUGGACAAUGGGCGAAAGCCUGAUCCAGCCAUGCCGCGUGUGUGAAGAAGGUCUUCGGAUUGUAAAGCACUUUAAGUUGGGAGGAAGGGCUGUAAGCUAAUAUCUUGCAGUCUUGACGUUACCAACAGGAUAAGCACCGGCUAACUCUGUGCCAGCCGCCGCCGUAACAC
rnacentral:rRNA from 1 species